GAAAAUGUAAAAGUAAUGAUGUAUUCUUAGCUAACUAGCUACAGUGGAGGCUAACUCAGACGAGCUGCUAACGUAGCUAGCUAGCUAGCUAUCUAGACAAUUUUACAUACUGUACAGCUAGUUAGCUAAGUUAAUUAAAUAUCACCAGCUACCUAACUUCAUAUUAGCUAGCUAUUGUGAUCUAUUUAUCAUUGUAAAAAAAAAAAAAAUGCAUUUGUAGGAAGCUAGCUAAGGAUAGUAGCUCCAACUGAAUAGGGCAGGUACUUUGGUGUAGUUCCAGUCUCUAGAAAGGAGUGAGGACAGAGAUGAUAGUAGCACCAUAAUAUUCAGUGCUGUCUAAUUGGAGUAUAAGGAAGUCUGGUUUUUGUUAUGUUUUCUGUCCUCAGCUACAGAGAGCUGUGAACGCCUGUUGUAAUGCAGAUGAAGAGCGGUGGUUCUCAGUCUAGGUCCUGGGGACUCAAAAGGGGUGCACAUUUUUGUUUUUGCUUUAGCACUACACAGCUGAUUCAAAUGAUCAACUCAUCAUCAAGCUUCAAACAGUAUUUAUGUAUUCAUGUUUGAUGCCAUCUUUGAUAUGAACCUUCUACUGUCACAUUCUACACAUGCAUCUAUCUAUAUUCUAUGUUAUCAUGAUUUGUUAUAAGAGAUAUUAUACUUUCAGUAAUCCACAAUGACCUGAUGAUGUAAAAGUCUAAUAAUGACAUUAUCUUCCAUAUUCCUACAGAUACCUUGCAACUGUAGAUUCCUCCUAAACAAUUCCCUACAGUUACCGUGUAGGGCACCGCACGAUUGGGUGGCCAGGGCCACCUGGGAAUGCCUCGUGGGGAAAUUCAGGCAUGUGUGAAGGCUACCUGUGUCCUGCAUAACUUCAUGAGGAUGGACACGAGGACCAGGAGGGGACCUGCAGCUUGCCGCCGUGUGCCAGAGGAGAGGUCUGCUGCUCUGCAGGAUGUUGCAAGGAUGGGGGCCAACAAUGCAGCACUGGAGGCAAUCCGUGUGGGAAGGCCUUUACCUCCUACUUCCCUGGCAACACCAUAUACCACACUAUGCAUAACCAAAGGCUCUUUUAAGAGCCACCCACCUUGCAAUAAGAGUAUUCUUCCAUUUACUUAGGUAUGUCAACUGCAGUUAUUCAAUUUCCAGUUUCUCUCCCUUUGAUUUAUACUUCUUAAGUGAGGGUGCCGUUUUGGUAAAAUUAUAAAAUAAAAAAAAAAAAAUGUUUACCUUAUUUAACUGUGCUGUUCAGGUAAGGGUGAUGUCUGUACAUAAACAAAGAGUCACCCAUAUUGAAAAAAAUGUGAACAAUAAGACACCCUACUACCCACACCUACAUUGUGUAUCAAUCUGAUUGAUGGAUUGUAUUGUGCAGUAAGCAGGCUCAGGUGUAUGACUGUGGCUCCUUCCACCUUCAAAGAAUAGGCAAGAGGACCAACCAUGGAGAAUAGUAAGGCAUGCCACUAUUUAUAUUUAAGUAAGUACGCUAUAUCGUUUGUCCUGUGCAUGUUUUUCAGUAUAAAGUACUCAGCAGCCACACACACAGAUUCCUGUUGAACACGGUCUCUUUAACUAGCUUGUUUUCUCAAUAACAACCCCUUCUCCCUAAAUCCUCUAGGUUAGAUCAGCUGUGUCGGUGAACCCCUCCUGCUUCCGAACUGCCUGACACAUAGAGGGCACAGCAUGAUCAGAGGUAUGUUUUGGUGUGAGAGAGGACGCCAACCCCCAGCCCCGUCAUCGCCACCUCACCGACUCUAAAAUAACCCUCUGGCCAACUGGGGGCCCAGGAAUGGUUAGGAGACACUGUUAGAGACACUGUUAUGUAAUUGUGAUGACCUGAGAGAAUGUGUAUUUUCAUUCAUCAUAUGCUGUCUUCCCUGCUCCGGUCUUAUCUCUUUCCCUUUCUGUCUAUUACACUUUCUCUCAUGCCUUUCUCCCCACCUCAUCUUUCUUCCUCUGUUUUUAGAAUGCCCACCAGAUGUGCAUUGAAGUACAGAUUGAACUUAUAUUUAUAAUAUUCCGUAUUUAUAACUUGGAUAAUGAACUUCUUCAAUAAAGCUUUUCACAUUCUCUACU